rnacentral:rRNA from 1 species
UACGGGGGGGGGCAAGCGUUGUUCGGAAUUACUGGGCGUAAAGGGCUCGUAGGCGGCCAACUAAGUCAGACGUGAAAUCCCUCGGCUUAACCGGGGAACUGCGUCUGAUACUGGAUGGCUUGAGUGUGGGGAGAGGGAUGCGGAAUUUCAGGUGUAGCGGUGAAAUGCGUAGAUAUCUGGAGGAACACCGGUGGCGAAGGCGGCAUCCUGGACCAUUUACUGACGCUGAGGGAGCGAAAGCCAGGGAGCAAACGGG